rnacentral:rRNA from 1 species
CGGACGAACGCUGGCGGCGUGCCUAACACAUGCAAGUCGAGCGGAGUCGAUCGACGGAAGCCUUCGGGCGGAAGAUGGUUGACUUAGCGGCGGAUGGGUGAGUAACGCGUGGGCAACCUGCCUCGAAGACCGGGAUAACAGCCCGAAAGGGCUGCUAAUACCGGAUGUGGUCAAGGAUCCGCAUGGAUUUUGAUUAAAGGGGAAACCCGUUUCGAGAUGGGCCCGCGUCCUAUCAGCUAGUUGGUGAGGUAAAAGCUCACCAAGGCGACGACGGGUAGCCGGCCUGAGAGGGUGACCGGCCACACUGGAACUGAGACACGGUCCAGACUCCUACGGGGGGCAGCAGUGGGGAAUCUUCCACAAUGGGCGAAAGCCUGAUGGAGCGACGCCGCGUGAGCGAAGAAGGCCUUCGGGUUGUAAAGCUCUGUCUGGAGGGACGAAGGAAGUGACGGUACCUCCGGAGGAAGCCACGGCUAACUACGUG